GAUGAACGCUAGCUACAGGCUUAACACAUGCAAGUCGAGGGGCAGCAUGGUCUUAGCUUGCUAAGGCCGAUGGCGACCGGCGCACGGGUGAGUAACACGUAUCCAACCUGCCGUCUACUCUUGGACAGCCUUCUGAAAGGAAGAUUAAUACAAGAUGGCAUCAUGAGUUCACAUGUUCACAUGAUUAAAGGUAUUCCGGUAGACGAUGGGGAUGCGUUCCAUUAGAUAGUAGGCGGGGUAACGGCCCACCUAGUCUUCGAUGGAUAGGGGUUCUGAGAGGAAGGUCCCCCACAUUGGAACUGAGACACGGUCCAAACUCCUACGGGAGGCAGCAGUGAGGAAUAUUGGUCAAAUGGACGAGAGUCUGAACCAGCCAAGUAGCGUGCAGGAUGACGGCCCUAUGGGUUGUAAACUGCUUUUAUAAGGGAAUAAAGUGAGUCUCGUGAGACUUUUUGCAUGUACCUUAUGAAUAAGGACCGGCUAAUUCCGUG
rnacentral:rRNA from 1 species